rnacentral:lncRNA from 1 species
GUCCGUUAAUUAUUCUUAUGUGCUUUAGUGUUUGCUCGAGGACUAGCAAAUGGUUAAGUUUGGGGGUAUUUGAUGAGUUUGUUUCACUCAUGGUUUUCGCACAUUUUUAGCUUGAUUAAAUACUAGAUUUUAUGAGUGUAGAACGUUUUUGAUGUGUUUGUUAGUGUUGUUUUGAAGAUAAGGAGAAGCAAUGAGAAAAGAAGUAUUAAAGUGGAUGAAGAGGCCAAAAACACGGAAUUGGGGCAGAAAGUUGGCGCU